AGAGCGUAGGGGGAAUGCCUUGGCACCAAGAGCCGAAGAAGGACGUGAUAAGCUGCGAAAAGCUACGGGGAGGAGCACAUAUCCAGAGAGCCGUAGAUAUCCGAAUGAGGGAACUCAAUCUAGGUAAAUGCUAGAUUAUCAUCACAUGAGUAAAGUAGUGUGAAUGAGGGGAACGUGGGGAACUGAAACAUCUUAGUACCCAUAGGAAGAGAAAAUAAAAAUGAUUCCGUAAGUAGUGGCGAGCGAAAGCGGAGGAGCCCAAACCUGAGUGAGCAAUCACUAUCAGGGGUUAGGACAUGCAACAAAUUCCAAGAAAGAGUGUAGUAGAAGUGUUUUGGGAAAGCACACCAAAGAGAGUGAAAGUCUCGUAUAUGAAACACGAAAGAAGGAAGAGUAUGAUCCAGAGUAAGACAGGACACGAGAAAUCCUGUGUGAAUGAGCGGGGACCAUCCCGUAAGGCUAAAUACUACUUGGUGACCGAUAGUGAAAUAGUACCGUGAGGGAAAGGUGAAAAGAACCCCGGGAGGGGAAUGAAAUAGAAUCUGAAACCCUAUGCUUACAAGCAGAUAGAGCACGUUAAAGUGUGAUAUCGUACUUUUUGCAGAACGGUCCGGCGAGUUACUGUAUAUGGCAAGGAGAAGAGUUUAAGACUAAUAUCCGAAGCGAAAGCGAGUCUGAAUAGGGCGAAAUAAGUCAUGUGCAGUAGACCCGAAACCGAGUGACCUAUCCAUGUCCAGGAUGAAGCUAGAGUGAAAUCUAGUGGAGGUCCGCACCAGUAGACGUUGAAAAGUCUUUGGAUGAGGUGUGGAUAGCGGAGAAAUUCUAAUCGAACUCGGAUAUAGCUGGUUCUCCUCGAAAUAGCUUUAGGGCUAGCCUUGAACAAAAACCAUAUGGGGGUAGAGCACUGAAUGAGCUAGGGGCCAAACAAAGGUUACCAAACUUUAUCAAACUACGAAUACCAUGUGGGAGGUUCAGGAGUCAGACUACGGGAGCUAAGUUCCGUGGUCAAAAGGGAAAGAGCCCAGACCGUCAAUUAAGGUCCCAAAGAUAUAACUAAGUGGAAAACGAUGUGAUUUUGCGCAGACAACCAGGAUGUUGGCUUAGAAGCAGCCAUUCAUUUAAAGAGUGCGUAAUAGCUCACUGGUCGAGUGGACAUGCGCCGACAAUAUACGGGGCUAAGCAUUGUACCGAAGCGGCGGAUCAGUACUUUGUACUGGUGGUAGGAGAGCUUUCUGUACGGGUUGAAGCAGUUGGAUAACCAACUGUGGACUGUCCAGAAGUGAGAAUGCUGGCAUGAGUAACGAGAGACAUGUAAAAAACAUGUCCGCCGUAAACCCAAGGUUUCCUGGGCAAGGCUAAUCCUCCCAGGGUUAGGCGGGAGCUAAGGCAAGGCCGGAAGGCGUAGUCGAUGCACAACAGGUAGAAAUUCCUGUCCCUCCAAAAGAGCGUUAUCACCAAUGGGGUGACGGAGAAGGGUAGCUAGGCGGGGUUCUGGACGUCCCCGUGAUGGCACGUAGGCUGAGAAGUAGUGAAAUGCGCUUCUCAUAUGGCUGAGGUGUUGGACGAAGCAAUUGAGUGAAGCUAGUGAGCCCAUACUUCCAAGAAAAACCUCUAGGGAGCUCUGAGGAGCCCGUACCGCAAACCGACACAGGUGGGUGGGUAGAGCAUACCAAGGCGAUCGGGAGAACUAUGGUUAAGGAACUCGGCAAAAUUGCCCCGUAACUUCGGGAGAAGGGGUGCCGGUUUCGGUGAAGGGAUUUACUCCCCGAGCUAAGAUCGGUCACAGUAAAUAGGUCCAAGCGACUGUUUAUCAAAAACACAGGACUCUGCUGAAGUCGUAAGACGACGCAUAGGGUCUGACGCCUGCCCGGUGCCGGAAGGUCACGAGGAGCCGUCAGCGAGAGCGAAGCGGCGAAUCCAAGCCCCGGUAAACGGCGGCCGUAACUAUAACGGUCCUAAGGUAGCGAAAUUCCUUGUCGGGUAAGUUCCGACCUGCACGAAAGGCGUAACGAUUUGGACGCUGUCUCAACCAUAGACCCGGUGAAAUUGCACUAGUCGUGAAGAUGCGACUUACCCGCGGAAGGACGGAAAGACCCCGUGAACCUUUACUGCAGCUUGACAUUGGCUGCCGGUUCGUCGUGUAGAGGAUAGGUGGGAGACGCCGAACCAGGGACGCCAGUCCCUGGGGAGUCACCCUUGGAAUACCACCCUCGACGUUCUGGCAUCCUAACCCCGCGCCGUGAUCCGGGCGGGGGACCGUGUCAGGUGGGUAGUUUGACUGGGGCGGUCGCCUCCUAAAGAGUAACGGAGGCGCACAAAGGUCUGCUCAGCCUGGUCGGCAACCAGGCCGCUGAGUGCAAGAGCGCAAGCAGGCUCGACUGCGAGGCCCACGAGCCGAGCAGGGACGAAAGUCGGUUCUAGUGAUCCGGCGGCCCAGAGUGGAAUGGCCGUCGCUCAACGGAUAAAAGGUACUCCGGGGAUAACAGGCUGAUCUUCCCCAAGAGUCCACAUCGACGGGAAGGUUUGGCACCUCGAUGUCGGCUCAUCGCAUCCUGGGGCUGGAGCAGGUCCCAAGGGUUGGGCUGUUCGCCCAUUAAAGCGGUACGCGAGCUGGGUUCAGAACGUCGUGAGACAGUUCGGUCCCUAUCCUCCGCGGGCGUAGGAGAACUGAGGGAGGCUGCCCCUAGUACGAGAGGACCGGGGUGGACGGACCUCCGGUGCGCGGGUUGUCGACCAACGGCACCGCCCGGUAGCUGAGUCCGGUUGGGAUAACCGCUGAAAGCAUCUAAGCGGGAAGCCCGUCCCGAGAUGAGUUCUCCCUUCGGUAAGGCCCCUCGUAGACCACGAGGUGAUAGGCCGCAGGUGCAAGCGCCGCGAGGCGCUCAGCCGAGCGGCACUAAUCGGCCGAGCUCUUCUCUU
rnacentral:rRNA from 1 species